rnacentral:rRNA from 1 species
CCUACGGGUGGCAGCAGUGGGGAAUAUUGCACAAUGGGGGAAACCCUGAUGCAGCGACGCCGCGUGAGUGAAGAAGUAUUUCGGUAUGUAAAGCUCUAUCAGCAGGGAAGAAAAUGACGGUACCUGACUACGACGCCCCGGCUAACUACGUGCCAGCAGCCGCGGUAAUACGUAGGGGGCAAGCGUUAUCCGGAUUUACUGGGUGUAACGGGAGCGUAGACGGUGGUGCAAGACAGAAGUGAAGGCCCGGGGCUCAACUCCGGGACUGCUUUUGAAACUGUGUGACUGGAGUGCCGGAGAGGUAGGCGGAAUUCCUGGUGUAGCGGUGAAAUGCGUAGAUAUCAGGAGGAACACCAGUGGCGAAGGCGGCUUACUGGACGGUAACUGACGUUGAGGCUCGAAAGCGUGGGGAGCAAACAGGAUUAGAUACCCGUGUAGUC